GACGAACGCUGGCGGCGUGCUUAACACAUGCAAGUCGAACGGAAAGGCCCUGCUUUUGUGGGGUGCUCGAGUGGCGAACGGGUGAGUAACACGUGAGUAACCUGCCCUUGUCUUUGGGAUAACUUCAGGAAACUGGGGCUAAUACCGGAUAGGAGCUCCUGCUGCAUGGUGGGGGUUGGAAAGUUUCGGCGGUUGGGGAUGGACUCGCGGCUUAUCAGCUUGUUGGUGGGGUAGUGGCGUACCAAGGCUUUGACGGGUAGCCGGCCUGAGAGGGUGACCGGCCACAGUGGGACUGAGAGACGGCCCAGACUCCUACGGGAGGCAGCAGUGGGGAAUAUUGCACAAUGGGCGGAAGCCUGAUGCAGCAACGCCGCGUGCGGGAUGACGGCCUUCGGGUUGUAAACCGCUUUCGCCUGUGACGAAGCGUGAGUGACGGUAAUUGGUAAAGAAGCACCGGCUAACUACGUG
rnacentral:rRNA from 1 species